GGAUAACCUACCCAAGAGUCUGGGAUAACCCCGGGAAACUGGGGAUAAUACCGGAUAGGUCAUUCGGGCUGGAAGGCUGUUUGGCUGAAACCUUUGGGGCUUUUGGAUGGGUCGGCGGCUGAUUAGGUUGUUGCCGGUGUAACGUACCGUCAAGCCUGUAAUCAGUACGGGUUGUGGGAGCAAAAGCCCGGAGAUGGAUUCUGAGACACGAAUCCAGGCCCUACGGGGCGCAGCAGGCGCGAAAACUUUACAAUGCAGGCAACUGCGAUAGGGGAACAUCGAGUGCUCAUCAUAUUGGUGGGCUGUCCAUCCGCCUAAAAAGCGGGUGUUAGCAAGGGCCGGGCAAGACCGGUGCCAGCCGCCGCGGUAAUACCGGCGGCUCGAGUGGUGGCCGAUAUUAUUGAGUCUAAAGGGUCCGUAGCCGGCUUUGCAAGUCUCUCGGGAAAUCCAGCGGCUUAACCGUUGGUCGGCCGGGGGGUACUACAUUGCUUGGGACUGGGAGAGGUAGGAGGUACUCGGGGGUAGGAGUGAAAUCCUGUAAUCCUCUGGGGACCACCGGUGGCGAAGGCGUCCUACCAGAACAGGUCCGACGGUGAGGGACGAAAGCUAGGGGCACGAACCGGAUUAGAUACCCGGGUAGUCCUAGCCGUAAACGAUGCUCGCUAGGUGUCGCAACAGUCGUGAAUUGUUGCGGUGCCGUAGGGAAGCCGUGAAGCGAGCCACUUGGGAAGUACGACCGCAAGGUUGAAACUUAA
rnacentral:rRNA from 1 species